CGAACGCUGGCGGCAGGCCUAACACAUGCAAGUCGAGCGCACCUUCGGGUGAGCGGCGGACGGGUGAGUAACGCGUGGGAAUAUGCCCUUCACUACGGAAUAGCCUCGGGAAACUGAGAGUAAUACCGUAUACGCCCUUCGGGGGAAAGAUUUAUCGGUGAAGGAUUAGCCCGCGUUGGAUUAGGUAGUUGGUGGGGUAAUGGCCUACCAAGCCGACGAUCCAUAGCUGGUUUGAGAGGAUGAUCAGCCACACUGGGACUGAGACACGGCCCAGACUCCUACGGGAGGCAGCAGUGGGGAAUCUUAGACAAUGGGGGAAACCCUGAUCUAGCCAUGCCGCGUGAGUGACGAAGGCCCUAGGGUCGUAAAGCUCUUUCGCCAGGGAAGAUAAUGACGGUACCUGGUAAAGAAGUCCCGGCUAACUCC
rnacentral:rRNA from 1 species